rnacentral:rRNA from 1 species
AUGAACGCUGGCGGCGUGCUUAACACAUGCAAGUCGAACGGUGAAGCCCAGCUUGCUGGGUGGAUCAGUGGCGAACGGGUGAGUAACACGUGGGUGAUCUGCCCUGCACUCUGGGAUAAGCCUGGGAAACUGGGUCUAAUACUGGAUAUGACCUGCUCUCGCAUGGGGGUGGGUGGAAAGAUUUAUCGGUGCAGGAUGGGCCCGCGGCCUAUCAGCUUGUUGGUGGGGUAAUGGCCUACCAAGGCGACGACGGGUAGCCGACCUGGGAGGGUGACCGGCCACACUGGGACUGAGACACGGCCCAGACUCCUACGGGAGGCAGCAGUGGGGAAUAUUGCACAAUGGGCGGAAGCCUGAUGCAGCGACGCCGCGUGAGGGAUGAAGGCCUUCGGGUUGUAAACCUCUUUCAGCAGGGACGAAGCGUGAGUGACGGUACCUGCAGAAGAAGCACCGGCUAACUACGU